UAACUUCAGAGUGAGAUUACUGGGCUUUGUUAUGACUUUGCUAAUUCAACCCCUUUGAGGAGAUGAGCCAUGCUAUUCUUUUCAUUGCAACUUGUCUAUUGGUUACUUUGGACAUGACUGUAUGAGGAUGAACUAGAUUUUGAAAAUCCAGGGAACAGCUUGUGAGCAACUUAGUAUUCAAGACUUUUGGUAAUAAGUUCAAGCAUUUACAACAUACCUUAUGUGGCCAAGCAAAGUUCCAGAUACCGUGAUGUGUAUGGAAAGAAACAAGACCUUUUCUGCUUUAAACAAGAUAAUUUCAGAGAGAACCUUAAAUUACAGGACAAUGGACUUAAUGUCAAAUGCCCACAAUGGCACUAGGAAGGCCGGAGCUCGCCUGUGUAUAGACUGCUCUGUUCUGCCCACAGCACUGAAUGGAAACUCCGGCUGACUGCCCCGUGCCGCCUCUCUCCAUUUCUGCUUGGUGUCUGUAAGCUCGGAUUUGAUGAUGCUACAUUUUGUUUUCUUUCAACUGAGCUACCCCAGCAGUCUCUGCCGGAUGUUGUGCAUGCCUGAUCUGAUGAUGCUUUGCUAUUCACCAUUGAUUCUCUCUGUCUGAUAUCUAUUCUUUUCCUUUCCUUGCUAAAGACUUAAUAAACCCAGUCAUUCGAAACUGAAA